UACGGGGGGGGCAAGCGUUGUUCGGAAUUACUGGGCGUAAAGGGCUCGUAGGCGGCCAACUAAGUCCGACGUGAAAUCCCCAGGCUUAACCUGGGAACUGCGUCGGAUACUGGAUGGCUUGAAUUCGGGAGAGGGAUGCAGAAUUCCAGGUGUAGCGGUGAAAUGCGUAGAUAUCUGGAGGAACACCGGUGGCGAAGGCGGCAUCCUGGACCACGACUGACGCUGAGUGAGCGAAAGCCAGGGGAGCAAACGGG
rnacentral:rRNA from 1 species